rnacentral:rRNA from 1 species
UCGGGAAUUUUGCGCAAUGGACGAAAGUCUGACGCAGCAACGCCGCGUGAGGGAUGAAGGCCUUCGGGUUGUAAACCUCUUUUCUCAGGGACGAUAAUGACGGUACCUGAGGAAUAAGCCACGGCUAACUACGUGCCAGCAGCCGCGGUAAUACGUAGGUGGCGAGCGUUGUCCGGAUUUACUGGGCGUAAAGAGCGCGCAGGCGGUCGUACAAGUCGCGUGUGAAAGCCCCCGGCUCAACUGGGGAGGGUCACGCGAUACUGUUCGACUCGAAGGCAGGAGAGGGAAGUGGAAUUCCCGGUGUAGUGGUGAAAUGCGUAGAUAUCGGGAGGAACACCAGUGGCGAAGGCGACUUCCUGGCCUGUUCUUGACGCUGAGGCGCGAAAGCUAGGGGUAGCAAACGGGGAUUAGGAUACCCCCGGGUAGUCCCUAGCCCGUAAACGAUGGACACUAGGUGUUGGUGGUAUCAACCCCGCAGUGCCGAAGCUAACGCAUUAAGUGU